CACUGCAUGGCAUAGUGGUUUAAAUGUUGGACUGUGACUCUGGAGACCAGGGUUUGAUUCCCUGCUGGGUCA